AUACUUACCUGGCAUAGGAGAUUCCAUGAUCAGGAAAUGGGUUCCCCAGGGUGAAGCUCGUCCAUUGCACUCCCGGCAUGCUGACCCCUGUGAUGUCCCCAAAUGUGGGAUACUCGACUGCACAAUUUGAUAAUGAUAGUGGGGGACUGUGUGCGUGCUCUCACCCU